rnacentral:misc_RNA from 1 species
AAGUCGUAACAAGGUUUCCGUAGGUGAACCUGCGGAAGGAUCAUUACUGAGUUUUGAAAGCGGGAGGUCCUGUUGCUGGUGUGCGCUUGCGCGCACGCAUGUGCACGGCCCUCGUACUCAAUCCACUCAACCCCUGUGCACUCUAUGGGAGUUAGUAGUCGGUGGUUAUCCGUUUUUUUGUUAGUUAGUAGUCGCAAGGCGAACACUUUAUUGUACGGAUUUGUUGUCGGCGAACACUUCAAUAUACACAAACCCAUUUUAUUGUUAUGUUGAAUGUAUAGCUCCUUGUGGGCGAAAUAAAAUACAACUUUCAACAACGGAUCUCUUGGCUCUC